ACGGCGAGUGAACCGGGAAAAGCUCAAAUUUGAAAUCUGCCAACAGGCCGAGUUGUAAUUUGUAGAUGGCUACACUGCAUAAUAGUAGAUGCUCAAGUUCUUUGGAAAAAGACAUCAUGGAGGGUGACAAUCCCGUGAGGCAUGUUACUAGGAGCAUAUAGUGGGCUUUCUAAGAGUCGAGUUGUUUGGGAAUGCAGCUCAAAGUGCGUGGUGAAUACCAUGUAAAGCUAAAUAUGGACGAGAGACCGAUAGCGAACAAGUACUGUGAAGGAAAGAUGAAAAGCACUCCGAAAGGAGAGUGAAAUAGUACGUGAAAUUGUUAAAGUGGAAGGGCUUGAGAUCAGAAUUGGUAGUUUGGGUUCCACGUCCUCUUGGGGGCGUGUACUCCCUUUCCACCGGGCCAGCGGGAGUUUCGUCUCUUGGGUAAAAGCAGUGGAAUGUAGCAGCUUGUCUGUAUUAUAGCCUCUGUUCAUACAAGACGUCGAGACUUGAUUUGUUGGCGUAAUGAUCUCUAGCCACCCGUCUUGAACCACGGAC
rnacentral:rRNA from 1 species